rnacentral:rRNA from 1 species
GAUGAACGCUAGCGAUAGGCUUAACACAUGCAAGUCGAGGGGCAGCACAAGGUAGCUUGCUAUCUGGGUGGCGACCGGCGCACGGGUGCGUAACGCGUAUGCAACUUGCCCUAUACAGGAGGAUAACCCGUCGAAAGACGGACUAAUACUGCGUAUGCUCACAACUUGGCAUCAAGUGAUGAGGAAAGAAAUUCGGUAUAGGAUAGGCAUGCGUCCCAUUAGCUUGUUGGUGAGGUAACGGCUCACCAAGGCAACGAUGGGUAGGGGAACUGAGAGGUUUAUCCCCCACACUGGUACUGAGACACGGACCAGACUCCUACGGGAGGCAGCAGUGAGGAAUAUUGGUCAAUGGGCGCGAGCCUGAACCAGCCAAGUCGCGUGAAGGAUGACUGUCUUAUGGAUUGUAAACUUCUUUUAUACGGGAAUAACAAGAGUCACGUGUGACUCCCUGCAUGUACCGUAUGAAUAAGCAUCGGCUAACUCCGUG